rnacentral:SRP_RNA from 1 species
GCCGGGCGCAGUGGCACGUGCCUGUAGUCCCAGCUAUUCGGGAGACUGACGCCAGAAGAUCUCUUAGGUCCAGGAGUUCUGUGCUGUAGUGUGCUAUGCUGAUCGGGUGUCCACACUAAGUUUGCCAUCAAUAUGGUGACCUCCCGGGAGUGGGGGACCACCAGGUUGCCUAAGGAGGGGUGAACUGGCCCAGGUCAGAAAUGGAGCAGGUCAAAACUCCCGUGCUGGUCAGUAGUGGGAUCACACCUGUGAAUAGCCCCUGCACUCCAGCCUGGGCAACAUAGCAAGACCCCCGUCU